rnacentral:rRNA from 1 species
CCUACGGGAGGCAGCAGUGGGGAAUUUUGGACAAUGGGCGCAAGCCUGAUCCAGCCAUGCCGCGUGCGGGAAGAAGGCCUUCGGGUUGUAAACCGCUUUUGUCAGGGAAGAAAUCCUUUGGGCUAAUACCUCGGAGGGAUGACGGUACCUGAAGAAUAAGCACCGGCUAACUACGUGCCAGCAGCCGCGGUAAUACGUAGGGUGCGAGCGUUAAUCGGAAUUACUGGGCGUAAAGCGUGCGCAGGCGGUUAUGCAAGACAGAUGUGAAAUCCCCGGGCUUAACCUGGGAACUGCAUUUGUGACUGCAUAGCUCGAGUACGGCAGAGGGGGAUGGAAUUCCGCGUGUAGCAGUGAAAUGCGUAGAUAUGCGGAGGAACACCGAUGGCGAAGGCAAUCCCCUGGGCCUGUACUGACGCUCAUGCACGAAAGCGUGGGGAGCAAACAGGAUUAGAUACCCUGGUAGUCCACGCCCUAAACGAUGUCAACUGGUUGUUGGACGGCUUGCUGUUCAGUACGAAGCUACG